rnacentral:rRNA from 1 species
GACGAACCGUGCGAACGUUGUUCGGAAUCACUGGGCUUAAAGGGCGCGUAGGCGGCUCGCGAGGUCGGGGGUGAAAUCCCACGGCUUAACCGUGGAAGUGCCUUCGAUACCGGCGGGCUCGAGGAAGGUAGGGGUGCGCGGAACUUCUGGUGGAGCGGUGAAAUGCGUUGAUAUCAGAAGGAACGCCGGCGGCGAAAGCGGCGCACUGGAUCUUUUCUGACGCUGAGGCGCGAAAGCCAGGGGAGCAAACGGG